rnacentral:rRNA from 1 species
UACGUAGGGGGCGAGCGUUGUCCGGAAUUAUUGGGCGUAAAGAGCUCGUAGGCGGCUCAGCAAGUCGGCUGUGAAAUCCCGAGGCUCAACCUCGGAACUGCAGUCGAUACUGCUGUGGCUAGAGUCUGGUAGAGGAGAAUGGAAUUCCCGGUGUAGCGGUGAAAUGCGCAGAUAUCGGGAGGAACACCAGUAGCGAAGGCGGUUCUCUGGGCCAGUACUGACGCUGAGGAGCGAAAGCGUGGGGAGCAAA